rnacentral:rRNA from 1 species
CAGCCGUAAACAAUGUGCGUUAGGUGUGUCGGUAACCACGCGUUACUGAUGCGCCGAAGAGAAAUCGUGAAACGCACCACCUGGGAAGUACGGUCGCAAGGCUGAAACUUAAAGGAAUUGGCGGGGGGAGCACCACAACAGGUGGAGCCUGCGGUUUAAUUGGAUUCAACACCGGAAAACUCACCAGGGAGACUGUUACAUGAAACCCAGACUAAUGAUCUUGGUUGAUUUUCAGAGAGGAGGUGCAUGGCGUCAGUGACU